rnacentral:rRNA from 1 species
GAAUCUUGGACGAUGGGGGCAACCCUGAUCCAGCCAUGCCGCGUGAGCGAUGAAGGCCCUAGGGUUGUAAAGCUCUUUCAGCGGGGAAGAUAAUGACGGUACCCGCAGAAGAAGCCCCGGCUAACUCCGUGCCCGCAGCCGCGGUAAUACGGAGGGGGCUAGCGUUGUUCGGAAUUACUGGGCGUAAAGCGCACGUAGGCGGAUCAGCCAGUCAGGGGUGAAAUCCCGGGGCUCAACCCCGGAACUGCCCUUGAUACUGCUGGUCUGGAGUUCGAGAGAGGCGAGUGGAAUUCCGAGUGUAGAGGUGAAAUUCGUAGAUAUUCGGAGGAACACCAGUGGCGAAGGCGGCUCGCUGGCUCGACACUGACGCUGAGGUGCGAAAGCGUGGGGAGCAAAC